GGGAUGUGUUUGUACUGGGUUUAUUUGUUUUGAGCCCAGGGCUGAGGAAUGUGCCUGAUUUCUUUUCAGUAACUAUAUCCAUCUUGACUCUGAAGGUUGACAGCUGCCACAUAGCCCUGGGACCUGUGAGAUCCAGUUAUUCCCAACGCAUUUAAAUUUUCUAUUGAGUGACUGUGGCUCUCAGUAUAAGCUUCCGCCUACAGAGAAAGUUAUUCAAGGAUGCUGGGCUCCCCUCACAAAUCAGUUUCUUAAAGUAUUGCUGAAAGGGCCCCCAGCCCACUGGAUGGUGCCUACCAACAUAGAGGGUGGAUUGUUAUAGAAUUCAACUCAGGUCUGCUCACGCAGUGCAGUGAGACUGAUAUCUACACUGACAUUUGCAGUAGGAGAAAAGGAGGUGUUUAUCUGGACAUUGUCAAACAAGGCAGAUGAGGCAGCUGAUGCUUAAGUUCCCACUUCCCCAGUGGCUUGCAGAUCCUUUGGCAUUUGAGAGUUGCUUCGUGUAUACGGCCCUGUAAUGGAGCAAAUGGCCAGCCAGGAAACCAAAAUAUGGACAAGGGGACAGAAGCAUCUGUGGAGGAAGUUUUACGAGUGGCCCUCCUCAUCCUUCAACACCGAGAUGCACUGGCACCCUUCUUCAAUCCAGAGGAUGGGCCAUCAACUCACAAAAGUGCAAGGCCUGGGAGCAGCUGCAAAGUUCCUAUGGAUCACUUGGUGAGAAACAGGUUCUCACUAUGUUGCCCAAGCUGGUCCUGAACCCCUAGCCUCAAGUAAUCCUCCUGCCUUAACCUACCAAAGCAUUGGGAUUAUAAGUUUGAGCCACCGUGAUCAGUCCAGGGUAGGAAAUGGAAUCUUAACAACUGUCACGUGAGCUUUGAGGGGAUCCUUCUCCAGAUGAGCCUUCACUUGAGACCUCAGCCUUGGACAUCAUCUACAUCUGGAUUCCUGACCCAGAGCAACUGUAAGUAAUGUGUGUAUGGUUUUGAGCCACCACACUAUGUGGCAAUUUGUUGUGCAGCAACUGAUAACUAAAACAAAAGAUAGUACAUUUAAUUUAUAAUACUACCCUAGAUUAGAUUCUGGAACAGAAAAAUGGCAUUACUGGAAAACCUGGUAA